GUCGGAAUCGCUAGUAAUCGUGGAUCAGCAUGCCACGGUGAAUACGUUCCCGGGCCUUGUACACACCGCCCGUCACACCAUGAGAGUUUGUAACACCCAAAGCCGGUGAGGUAACCUUCGGGGACCAGCCGUCUAAGGUGGGACAGAUGAUUAGGGUGAAGUCGUAACAAGGUAGCCGUAGGAGAACCUGCGGCUGGAUCACCUCCUUUC
rnacentral:rRNA from 1 species